UUUCAGAAAGCCGGUUUAGAAAACUCAGAGUUAAAAAUGAUACUCAGGGUUGAGUAACCCCGAACUGUCCAACUCGGAAUAUUCGGUUUCAGAAAGGCUGAUAACAAUUAGUUCAAUCAACGCGGAGUUGCUUUAACCCCAAGUUAAGCACGCGCAUAAAGCCCUGAUUAGUGGAGCACAGAUUAAGCGAGUCACCAUGGAGACGGAGGGAAAGAAGGCGCGGUCAAUGUAUUUUACAGCGCUUGAGGCCGAAAUUCUGAUGGCAGCAUAUGCCGAUAACAUGCAAAUUUUGCGGAAAAAAAGUAACACAGCCUCAGCUGCAAAAGAAAGGGAGCAUGCAUGGCAAUACAUAGCCGACAGAGUCAAUGCGUGAGUGUUAAUUUAAAAAUUGAUCUAGGGAUUUCCACCCAUUUAACACGUUAUUUUAUUAUAUUUCAUUUUAUUUUAUACAUUUUAUUUUGUGAUGUGAUGUGAGCGCAUGUGCAACCCAACAGGCCCCAAACGUUCCUGGCAGCAAGUAAAAAUGAAAUAUAAAAAAUGUAGAGGAAGAGGGUCCAGCCACUUCUCCAACAAACCUUUCCUCACUCCCUGUAAAGCAGCUGUACAAGACCUGUUUGAUCAAGAAAAUAAAAAAAUGCUUUUUGGAAAUGGAACACUUCAAGCAGCAGAAUGGAAUGUGAGUGCCAUCUAUACAGCCAAUCACGCCUGGGAACCCUGAAAAUAAAUGUAAAAUCUAAGUAGUAGUUCAAGUAUCACCACAUCAUGAAUUAAGUUUUGUUCAUCCUGAUACCUGCAAUUUUGUGGAAUCCCUCUUUGAUAAAUCUUGUGGGUCUAUGACCGGGGAACACCACAAACGAGUACAGGAGACGUUUCAGUGCAACUGUAACAUACCUGACUGCCCGACAGACGGUAGCCUUGGAAACGUGCUCAGCGUCACCAAUAUUAUACAGAAAGCUCCCGUUUGCAAAAAAACGAAGUGCAAUACAAAUAAUAUGUACAGAACUGAGAGAAUGUCCGCGAUGUGUCACAUGCGCAAUAUAAGGCCUGAGGAUGUUAUUCAAAUAAAUUAUCGAUUGUGCUGAAAAACGGUAACGUUCACACAGAAAAUCAUCAGGAAAUGAUAAAAUGUCCAAACACGCUCUAAUCACUCUCUCCCGGUGGAGAGCUCUGCGGAGAAUUUGGGCUUCAACAUCUACUGGCUCUUCAAGUAAGGGGCACCAUGUCUGACACUUCCUACAGUCAGGUUUCCGACAAAGAGGCAGAGAAGUUCAGGGUUAGUUGAAGUAAACCUGCUAGGGGGCAGGUUAGCUUCACGGAGUGUGUCGUCAUAGUAACUCACUCAGAAUUAAUCUAAACUCGCUUUGUGAAACCGAAAACCCAGAGUUUUCGUUAACUCAGGGUAUACUUACUCAGAGUUUGCACUAAACCGGCUUUCUGAAACAGGGCCC